UACAUGGGGUGCAAACGUUGCUCGGAAUUAUUGGGCGUAAAGCGCACGUAGGCGGUUCGUUAAGUCGGAUGUGAAAGCCCUCGGCUCAACUGAGGAAGUGCACCCGAAACUGGCGAGCUUGAGUACGAAAGAGGAUCGCGGAAUUCCCGGUGUAGUGGUGGAAUGCGUAGAUAUCGGGAGGAACACCAGUGGCGAAGGCGGUUGCCUGGGGCUUUGCUGACGCUGAUGCGCGAAAGCGUGGGGAGCGAGUCCGG
rnacentral:rRNA from 1 species